UUUAAAGAAAGCGUAAUAGCUCACUGAUCGAGUCGUCCUGCGCGGAAGAUGUAACGGGGCUAAGCCAGUUACCGAAGCUGCGGAUGUGCAAUUUAUUGCACGUGGUAGGAGAGCGUUCUGUAGGCCUGUGAAGGUGUCUGGUAACGGAUGCUGGAGGUAUCAGAAGUGCGAAUGCUGACAUGAGUAGCGUUAAAGGGGGUGAAAAGCCCCCUCGCCGUAAGCGCAAGGUUUUCUACGCAACGUUCAUCGGCGUAGAGUGAGUCGGCCCCUAAGGCGAGGCAGAGAUGCGUAGCUGAUGGGAAACAGGUCAAUAUUCCUGUACCGAUCAAUAGUGCGAUGUGGGGACGGAGAAGGUUAGCUCAGCCAACUGUUGGAUAUGUUGGUUCAAGCCUGUAGUCGUGCCUGGUAGGCAAAUCCGCCGGGCUUAGAUGAGGGGUGAUAACGAGGCUGCUUGCAGCCGAAGUGAGUGAUACCCUGCUUCCAGGAAAAGCCACUAAGCUUCAGCUAUUGACGACCGUACCGCAAACCGACACUGGUGCGCGAGAUGAGUAUUCUAAGGCGCUUGAGAGAACUCAGGAGAAGGAACUCGGCAAAUUGACACCGUAACUUCGGAAGAAGGUGUGCCCUAUUAGUGUGUAGUGAACAACGAAGCAUGAAUGGGUUGCAAAAAAUCGGUGGCUGCGACUGUUUAUUAAAAACACAGCACUC
rnacentral:rRNA from 1 species